AAAACAUUUGGAAAUAUCGCUAAAAUGUAAACACUGAACGAAACGAUCACUGAUAAAGAUCACUGUUUUUCACUAUUUAAGGUUCAAAUGAAGAUCCAAUACAAUCACUACGUCGUACUUCAAUAGUAAAUUAUAUACACGAUUGUCAUAAAAUUAUUAAAGAAAUAAGAAGGAAAAUGUAAUCGUUCACAAAACACUGUUAAACGAUGGAUACUGCAUACAAAAUCUCUAAAAUGCUGAAACGUGCUGUUAGCCACCGACUGUCAUCACUGUACAUUUCAGCCACGGUGCGUCGGAUAGGAACGUACCUGUUCUCGCAGCGCCCCUUGGACAAAAUGGAAUAAAUCGAUUGAAAUAAUGAAAAAGA